UGCUUUAACAUGCAAGUCGAGCGGUAAGGCCUGUUCGGGGUACACGAGCGGCGAACGGGUGAGUAACACGUGGGUGAUCUGCCCUGCACUCUGGGAUAAGCCUGGGAAACUGGGUCUAAUACCGGAUAUGACCUUCCUCUGCAUGGGGGUUGGUGGAAAGCUUUUGUGGUGCAGGAUGGGCCCGCGGCCUAUCAGCUUGUUGGUGGGGUAAUGGCCUACCAAGGCGACGACGGGUAGCCGACCUGAGAGGGUGACCGGCCACACUGGGACUGAGACACGGCCCAGACUCCUACGGGAGGCAGCAGUGGGGAAUAUUGCACAAUGGGCGGAAGCCUGAUGCAGCGACGCCGCGUGAGGGAUGAAGGCCUUCGGGUUGUAAACCUCUUUCAGCAGGGACGAAGCGUGAGUGACGGUACCUGCAGAAGAAGCACCGGCUAACUACGUGCCAGCAGCCGCGGUAAUACGUAGGGUGCGAGCGUUGUCCGGAAUUACUGGGCGUAAAGAGUUCGUAGGCGGUUUGUCGCGUCGUUUGUGAAAACCCGGGGCUCAACUUCGGGCUUGCAGGCGAUACGGGCAGACUUGAGUGUUUCAGGGGAGACUGGAAUUCCUGGUGUAGCGGUGAAAUGCGCAGAUAUCAGGAGGAACACCGGUGGCGAAGGCGGGUCUCUGGGAAACAACUGACGCUGAGGAACGAAAGCGUGGGUAGCAAACAGGAUUAGAUACCCUGGUAGUCCACGCCGUAAACGGUGG
rnacentral:rRNA from 1 species